UUAAUUGAAGCCAAAAAGAGGCUUAUCAUUGUUAAUGAUAAAAUUGAGAAAUAUAAACUCCAAUUAAA
rnacentral:tRNA from 1 species